AAAUGAUCUUUUCCUUAACUUAUUCAGCACAAAAUAAACCAAGAGAGAUCAAAACAACACACUGUUCUCGCGUGGUUUUAAAGUCACAUGACAGCUGCUGCUCAUGUGGCUGAUGAACAGCAGCCUAGGUAGGAGAUGCUGGAGGGCAGACGUGCGAUGGUUGAGCCAAACGUUGUAGCAAUCACACGGUUUGUCAAGUGGGAACUGGCCAGGUUCUGUUCCAGAUUCCCAUUCCAGGAUUCUGGAUCUGGGUUCAGUCCCAGAUCGUCUGUUACCAUAGCGUCCAGACAACCCAAACAGCGGAUCACAGAAACAUCACAUCCUAUCAACUUCUUCCAAAUUGGUGGGAGACCUUCAGCCCAACAAUCUUCACUCUGGACUGGACCACAAAGAA